rnacentral:rRNA from 1 species
GACGAACCGAGCGAACGUUGUUCGGAAUCACUGGGCUUAAAGGGCGCGUAGGCGGGCGAUCAAGUCGGUGGUGAAAUCCUCCAGCUUAACUGGAGAACUGCCUCCGAUACUGGUUGUCUCGAGGAAGGUAGGGGCGUGCGGAACAGUUGGUGGAGCGGUGAAAUGCGUUGAUAUCAACUGGAACUCCGGUGGCGAAGGCGGCACGCUGGACCUUUUCUGACGCUGAGGCGCGAAAGCCAGGGGAGCAAACGGG